rnacentral:lncRNA from 1 species
GCUGGGAUUACAGGCGUGAGCUACUGUGCCCAGCCUUGUCCACCUGUUUGGAGAUGCCCUCGUGUCUGUGUGGACCCGCAGAGAGACACGCACAGGCAGACCCACGGACGCACAGACACAGACACAGGCACACACACAUAUACCCAUCCAGAUGCACAGAAAUGCAGACACAAAGGCACACAUGCAAGCACACGCCACAAGACAUGCACACACGGACACAUGCAGGACACAGAUACACUGACAGGUACACACAUGGACACACAGAUACAGCAAGACAGGCACACACACACACACGGACACAGAUACAGUGACAGGCACACACAGACGCAGACAUGCACAGAUGGGCACACACACAUGGACAUACAGAUAUAGCGACAGGCACACACAGACGCAGACAUGCACAGCAACAGGCACACACAGACGCAGACAUGCACAGAUGGGCACAGACAGACACGCACGGACACACAGAUACACCAACAGACAGGCACGCACACAGACGCAGACAUGCACAGCUGGACACACACACACACGGA